AGCCUACUAGCUCAAUAGGUAGAGCAUUGCAAAGAUGUGGGUUCGAAUCCCAUGUAGGUUU
rnacentral:tRNA from 1 species